CCUCAUGGAUGUUGUGCGGUGUGGAUGCAAAGCAGAGGGGAAGGCCUGCAGUACUGCAAGUUGUAGUUGUCACCAUGCAAAGAUCUCCUGCAUGCUAUACUGCACUUGUGGUUGCAGUGACAAGUGCUUCAACCCACACAAUACUGUGGAGGACAGUGAAAGUGAAGUGGAAGAAGGAAGUUUCGAAGCAGAACUGGAAAGAGACGAGGAUACAGAAGGGGACGAGUACAAUGAAUGGGAAUGAACAAUACGCAAAAUAUUACGGCAUUUUACAUCAUCUCGACCAAUCAAAUUUGUUGCUCGCAGACCCAGCCCAUGUCCUGUCUUUUUUUUUCUCAAGACUGCACAGGAGAGGAUGAAGCUGUCUGCACUUUAGGUCCAGAACUCUACUUUUUCAUGUACUUGUCAGGGCAAGGAAGGCUGAAGGAGUACUUGAGAGUGAAAGCAGUGCCAGGUUCCAUGUCAUUUAUGAGAUAUAACCACGAGAGACAUGGGCACAGAAUACUUCCUCACCUUCACAGCACGGCUGUGCUCUUAAAGAACUUCAGAAUGGAGACUUCAGUGGUUGCCUUCAUUUUCUGUUCCAAAACCUCCUUAUAACAUUUCAGGACAUUCUCCAUCUCCCUCCACACCUUGGAACUUCUCAUGCAGUUGGGAUCGUGCUCAGCACAGGCAACUUGCUCAGGACGAUGGAGCAUGGGAACCCCGCUCAGGACGACGGAGCACGGGCAACCCGCUCAGGACGAUAUGGCGCGGCAAAAGCAUCCACAGUAAGUGAAUGAUUUGCUCAGAAUGACGUAGCACAGUUGUUUUGUGGUUGUUGUUGUUGAAUUAAAGCUACGUCACAGCAAAAACGUGGUCUCAGAACAUGCUCUACCUUGUCGCAACUGCUGUUUGUGAACUCUGGUGAAGGAAAGGAAAAGGGCGUCUUCUGAGGAAGAAAGAAAUGGUAGAGCGAGAUGACUGGGCCCUUUCUUUCUUCUCCCACCAAGUCCUGCUCACACUCGAGUGGAUGAAACCGUCCUUCAAACAGGCCUGAACCCCAUUCUCUUCCUUAUCUCCUGUUUUGUUUGGAUUCCCUUUCCUCACACUGGGUUAGAUAGAGUUCCAUGAUUGUGAUGUUGUCUCGGCUUUAAGUGUCGGUUGUGUGGCUUGUGUUGCACUUAAUUCAGUCCGUCGUUAUUAAUUGAUGAAUUGAGUCCGUCAUCGUUCCUGUAUCGUUUUGCCUUCUGUGUACCCCAUCCCUUGAUGUAAGUAAAUUGAUUGUAUUAUAUUG
rnacentral:lncRNA from 1 species